UACGUAGGGUGCAAGCGUUAAUCGGAAUUACUGGGCGUAAAGCGUGCGCAGGCGGCUUUGCAAGACAGAUGUGAAAUCCCCGGGCUUAACCUGGGAACUGCAUUUGUGACUGCAUGGCUGGAGUGCGGCAGAGGGGGAUGGAAUUCCGCGUGUAGCAGUGAAAUGCGUAGAUAUGCGGAGGAACACCGAUGGCGAAGGCAAUCCCCUGGGC
rnacentral:rRNA from 1 species